CGGGAGCCGGCAGGAAGAGGCUUGCUGCCCGUCCCGGAACCAGAGACGGGGCAGCGCUCGAGUUCCUGCGCGGCACUGCCAAGGCACGACAACGGGCCAGAAGGCUGCCAGGCUCAGUGGGCAAGCGAAGAAAUCAACCACCGCUACACGGGCGCUUGGGGGCGGGGCCCGAGUGCGAACCCGAGCCCCAAAUCCCGACCCAGGCAGGGGCGGGGCCCGGGGCGGGGCCUUGGAGGACCAGCCCGCGCGGCAACGUCUCCGCGCGGCGUCUCGACAACCACUGACAGCCACCCGCCAUGGCCGCAGACCAGCGCUCGAAGGCCGACACCCUGGCCCUGAGGCAGCGGCUCAUCAGCUCUUCCUGCAGACUCUUUUUUCCCGAGGAUCCUGUUAAGAUUGUCCGGGCCCAAGGGCAGUACAUGUACGAUGAACAGGGGGCAGAAUACAUCGACUGCAUCAACAAUGUGGCUCACGUCGGGCACUGCCACCCUCUCGUGGUCCGAGCAGCACAUGAACAGAACCAGGUGCUCAACACCAACAGCCGGUACCUGCACGACAACAUUGUGGACUAUGCGCAGAGGCUGUCGGAGACGCUGCCAGAGCCGCUCUGUGUGUUCUAUUUCCUGAAUUCCGGGUCAGAAGCCAAUGACCUGGCCCUGAGGCUGGCUCGCCACUACACAGGACACCAGGACGUGGUGGUAUUAGACCAUGCGUAUCACGGCCACCUGAGCUCCCUGAUUGACAUCAGUCCCUACAAGUUCCGCAACCUGGAUGGCCAGAAGGAGUGGGUCCACGUGGCACCUCUCCCAGACACCUACCGGGGCCCCUACCGGGAGGACCACCCCAACCCAGCUGUGGCCUAUGCCAACGAGGUGAAACGUGUGGUCAGCAGUGCACAGGAGAAGGGCAGGAAGAUUGCAGCCUUCUUCGCUGAGUCUCUGCCCAGUGUGGGAGGGCAGAUCAUUCCCCCUGCUGGCUACUUCUCCCAAGUGGCAGAGCACAUCCACAAGGCCGGAGGGGUCUUUGUUGCAGAUGAGAUCCAGGUUGGCUUUGGCCGAGUAGGCAAGCACUUCUGGGCCUUCCAGCUCCAGGGAAAAGACUUUGUCCCUGACAUCGUCACCAUGGGCAAGUCCAUUGGCAAUGGCCACCCUGUUGCCUGUGUGGCCACAACCCAGCCUGUGGCGAGGGCAUUUGAAGCCACCGGCGUUGAGUACUUCAACACGUUUGGGGGCAGCCCAGUGUCCUGCGCUGUGGGGCUGGCCGUCCUGAAUGUCCUGGAGAAGGAGCAGCUCCAGGCUCAUGCCACCAGUGUGGGCAGCUUCCUGAUGGAGCUCCUCAGGCAGCAAAAAAUCAAACAUCCCAUCGUCGGGGAUGUCAGGGGCGUUGGGCUCUUCAUUGGUGUGGAUCUGAUCAAAGAUGAGGCCACAAGGACACCAGCAACUGAAGAGGCUGCCUACUUGGUGUCAAGUACCCUGGGGGUGCUUUUCCAGUUCAGUGAGGAAAUGGGUAAGUCACCUGCAGUCACCCUGCUAGGUGGCAAGAGCUCAAUCUGGCCCCAGGGCCGUCUAACUCCAAAGUCCAAGCCCUGUCCUUUCUGGCAUGGCCAUGGUCAGUGCCAGAAAGACUGGGAUAGGAAAAUGAAACCAGAAGGUAGACUCCCAACCCCCAAGAAAUAAAAAUAACAAGGGUUUACAAAAGAAUGGGAACAAGGAUCAAAGAAUAUAAGCACAACCAUGCAGACCCCUCGUCUCAAAGAUGAGGUUAGACUGUGGACUAAAAGUGAUUAUUAGCUAUAAACGAUGCUAAGAUAAAGCCAUCUUCCUAAGAAGAGGUGGAAAUUUUCAACUGGAAUUUUAAGAUAACCCGGAGGACAGUCCAGGGAGAUUCCUGAAGCUCGUGAGGGACAUGUGGGGCCCAUUACACCAACUGCAAUGUUGGGCAUUAUCUAUAUAAGAAAACAAUACACAUCAUGUCAACCACACAGAAAACCAGAGAAUGCAGGGACUCUUGUUGCAGUCUGCUGUUUCCCUGUGGCCAUUCAUUCUUGGCUUCGACUGUGGCUCCAGGGGUUAGGUGAGACAAGGUGCCUGUUCUGGGGGGCAGCAGGCUCAGGACCAGGUGCAGUGCACCCCAAGCAGGGGCUGCUGUGGGCCAGAUGCACAGGACCUUGGUAGGGGUGACCGGUAGUGUCUGGCAGGAACUGGCCCAUGGAAGGCUCUGAAGGCAGUGUGGCCGGAGCACUGGACGUGAGGCCAAGGCCAGGCUGAGGAAGGCCAGGAAGGCCUUGAAGGCCACGUGAAGGGGUGUCCUGUCCUCACAGGCUGAAGGAGAACUACGUUUUGCUGAGCACUGAUGGCCCUGGGAGGAACAUCCUGAAGUUUAAACCCCCAAUGUGCUUCAGCCUGGACAAUGCACGGCAGGUGGUGGCAAAGCUGGAUGCCAUUCUGACUGACAUGGAAGAGAAGGUGC